rnacentral:rRNA from 1 species
GGGUUGUGAGGUUAAGCGACUAAGCGUACACGGUGGAUGCCCUGGCAGUCAGAGGCGAUGAAGGGCGUGCUAAUCUGCGAUAAGCGCCGGUAAGGUGAUAUGAACCGUUAUAACCGGCGAUACCCGAAUGGGGAAACCCAGUGUGAUUCGUCACACUAUCAUUACGUGAAUACAUAGCGUAAUGAAGCGAACCGGGGGAACUGAAACAUCUAAGUACCCCGAGGAAAAGAAAUCAACCGAGAUUCCCCCAGUAGCGGCGAGCGAACGGGGAGGAGCCCAGAGCCUGAAUCAGCAUGUGUGUUAGUGGAAGCGUCUGGAAAGGCGCGCGAUACAGGGUGACAGCCCCGUACACAAAAGCGCAUGUGUUGUGAGCUCGAUGAGUAGGGCGGGACACGUGGUAUCCUGUCUGAAUAUGGGGGGACCAUCCUCCAAGGCUAAAUACUCCUGACUGACCGAUAGUGAACCAGUACCGUGAGGGAAAGGCGAAAAGAACCCCGGCGAGGGGAGUGAAAAAGAACCUGAAACCGUGUACGUACAAGCAGUGGGAGCACCCUUUGGGGUGUGACUGCGUACCUUUUGUAUAAUGGGUCAGCGACUUAUAUUCUGUAGCAAGGUUAACCGAAUAGGGGAGCCGGAGGGAAACCGAGUCUUAAUUGGGCGUUAAGUUGCAGGGUAUAGACCCGAAACCCGGUGAUCUAGCCAUGGGCAGGUUGAAGGUUGGGUAACACUAACUGGAGGACCGAACCGACUAAUGUUGAAAAAUUAGCGGAUGACCUGUGGCUGGGGGUGAAAGGCCAAUCAAACCGGGAGAUAGCUGGUUCUCCCCGAAAGCUAUUUAGGUAGCGCCUC